GCAGGGGGUCGUCGGUUCGAUCCCGACAGGCUCCACCAUUUGAGUGAAACGACUUUGGGUCUGUAGCUCAGGUGGUUAGAGCGCACCCCUGAUAAGGGUGAGGUCGGUGGUUCGAGUCCUCCCAGACCCACCACUCUGAAUGUAGUGCACACUUAAGAAUUUAUAUGGCUCAGCGUUGAGGCUGAGACAUGUUCUUUUAUAACUUGUGACGUAGCGAGCGUUUGAGAUAUCUAUCUAAACGUGUCGUUGAGGCUAAGGCGGGGACUUCGAGUCCCUAGAAAUUGAGUCGUAUGUUCGCGUUGGUGGCUUUGUACCCCACACAACACGGCGUAUGGCCCCGAGGCAACUUGGGGUUAUAUGGUCAAGCGAAUAAGCGCACACGGUGGAUGCCUAGGCGGUCAGAGGCGAUGAAGGACGUGGUAGCCUGCGAAAAGUGUCGGGGAGCUGGCAACAAGCUUUGAUCCGGCAAUGUCCGAAUGGGGAAACCCACUGCUUCGGCAGUAUCCUGCAGUGAAUGCAUAGCUGCUGGAAGCGAACCCGGUGAACUGAAAUAUCUAAGUAACCGGAGGAAAAGAAAUCAACCGAGAUUCCCUAAGUAGUGACGAGCGAACGGGGAGCAGCCCUUAAGCUGGAAUGGCUUUAGAAAAACAAUCUGGAA
rnacentral:misc_RNA from 1 species